rnacentral:rRNA from 1 species
CGGAUUGGAGUCUGCAACCCGACUCCAUGAAGCUGGAUUCGCUAGUAAUCGCGCAUCAGCCACGGCGCGGUGAAUACGUUCCCGGGCCUUGUACACACCGCCCGUCAAGCCAUGGAAGCCGGGAGUGCCUGAAGUGCGUGAGCGCAAGCAGCGCCCUAAGGUAAAACCGGUGACUGGGGCUAAGUCGUAACAAGGUAUC